rnacentral:rRNA from 1 species
AUGGUGGAACACCGUCGCCUGGGCCUAUGCUUCAACUGUAACGAGAAGUUUGGCAGGGGCCACAACCGCGUGUGCCAGCGCAUCUUUCUCCUCGACUUAGCGCCGGACGACGACGACGACGACGCGGCCUCCGCUACUGAUGAUGCAUCGCGGGCCGACCCUCAGAUCUCGCUCCACGCAAUCUCCGGGGUGCGCACGAGCGAAACCAUGCAGAUGCAUAUUACUCUCGGGGGUGUCUCCCUCCUCGCCCUGAUCGACUCAGGCUCCACCCACAACUUCAUCGCCGAGGAGGCGGCCGCUCGUGCUACGCUGCCAUCCCCCACCACCGAGAAGAUGCGCGUCACGGUGGCCAACGGCGAGCGUGUUCCGUGCCAAGGCGCGUACCGCGCCGUGCCCUUCCGCAUCGGCCAAGAGGAGUUCUCGGAGGAUUUCCUCGCCUUGCCGCUCGCGGGCUACGACAUCGUCCUGGGCACGCAGUGGCUGGCGACGCUCGGACCGAUCCUGUGGGAUUUCCGCGCCCUCUCCAUGACAUUCUGGCGGAGGGGCCAUCGGGUGUGCUGGCGCGGCAUUGCAGGACCGGACGGGCCAGCCCUGAAAUCAUGCAGCGGCCGCGACUUCCUCGACGCCAUCAUCACCGAGUUCGACGACAUCUUCGCCGAACCCUCCGGCGUGCCACCGCCCCGCAGCCGCGACCACGGCAUCACCCUGCUGGCCGGUUCCGCCCCGGUGGCCGUCCGUCUGUAUCGCUACCCGGCCGCGCACAAGGAUGAGCUGGAGCGUCAGUGCGCCGCCAUGCUCGCCCAGGGCAUCAUCCGAGCGAGUUGUUCCGCAUUCUCGUCCCCGGUACUGCUGGUCCGCAAGGCCGACGGGUCCUGGCGCUUCUGCAUCGACUAUCGCGCCCUAAACGCCAUUACUGUCAAGAAUGCGUUUUCGAUCCCGGUGGUGGACGAACUCCUCGACGAGCUCCGGCACGCUCGUUUCUUCACCAAGAUCGACUUGCGCUCCGGCUACCACCAGGUGUGGAUGCGUGUGGAGGACAUCCCGAAGACCGCCUUCCGUACUCAUGACGGCCUCUACAAGUUCCUGGUGAUGCCGUUCGGCCUCUGCAACGCGCCGGCAACGUUCCAGGCCCUCAUGAACGAUCUGCUGCGGCCGUACCUGCGCCGUUUUGUUCUCGUCUUCUUUGACGACAUCCUCAUUUUCAGUGAGACAUGGGCUGACCAUCUCCGACAUGUGCGCACCGUCUUCACCGUCCUGCACCAGCACCGGCUCUUCGUCAAGCGAUCCAAAUGCGCAUUCACCGUCGAGUCGAUCUCAUACCUGGGUCACACCAUCUCCGCUGCAGGAGUGGCCAUGGAUCCGGAAAAGGUGCAGGCAGUGGCCGAAUGGCCGCAACCACGCUCGGCGCGCGCAGUUCGGGGGUUUCUCGGCCUUGCGGGGUACUACCGCAAGUUUGUCAAGGAGUUUGGCGUGGUUGCCGCGCCACUAACGACCCUCCUUCGCAAGGAUGGUUUCUCCUGGUCGCCGGAGGCGGCAGCAGCUUUUCACGCCCUCAAGACGACAGUCACCACGGCUCCCGUCCUCGCGUUACCGGAUUUCACGCGGCCGUUCAUCGUCGAGUGUGACGCCUCGACAUUCGGCUUCGGGGCCGUCCUUCUUCAGGACCAACACCCGGUGGCUUUCUUUAGCCGGCCAGCCGCGCCACGUCACCGUUCCCUGGCAGCAUAUGAACGGGAACUCAUCGGCCUGGUGCUCGCGAUUCGUCACUAG